rnacentral:rRNA from 1 species
GACGAACGCUGGCGGCGUGCCUAAUACAUGCAAGUCGAGCGCAGGAAGCUGACGGAACUCUUCGGAGGGAAGGCAGUGGAAUGAGCGGCGGACGGGUGAGUAACACGUAAGGAACCUGCCUCAAGGAUUGGGAUAACUCCGAGAAAUCGGAGCUAAUACCGGAUAGUUCAACGGACCGCAUGGUCCGCUGAUGAAAGGCGCUCCGGCGUCACCUUGAGAUGGCCUUGCGGUGCAUUAGCUAGUUGGUGGGGUAACGGCCCACCAAGGCGACGAUGCAUAGCCGACCUGAGAGGGUGAUCGGCCACACUGGGACUGAGACACGGCCCAGACUCCUACGGGAGGCAGCAGUAGGGAAUCUUCCACAAUGGACGAAAGUCUGACGGAGCAACGCCGCGUGAGUGAUGAAGGUUUUCGGAUCGUAAAACUCUGUUGUAAGGGAAGAACACGUACGAGAGGGAAUGCUCGUACCUUGACGGUACCUUACGAGAAAGCCACGGCUAACUACGUGCCAGCCGCCGCCGUAACAC